rnacentral:rRNA from 1 species
UACGAAGGGGGCUAGCGUUGUUCGGAAUUACUGGGCGUAAAGCGUGCGCAGGCGGCCAUCCAAGUCAGUGGUGAAAGCCCGGAGCUCAACUCCGGAAUUGCCAUUGAAACUGUUUGGCUUGAGGACGAGAGAGGUGAGUGGAAUUCCCAGUGUAGAGGUGAAAUUCGUAGAUAUUGGGAAGAACACCGGUGGCGAAGGCGGCUCACUGGCUCGUUUCUGACGCUCAUGCACGAUAGCGUGGGGAUCAAACAGG